rnacentral:snoRNA from 1 species
CCGACCUUACUUGAACAGGAUCUGUUCAUUUGGUUGUACAUCUGUUUCCAUUGACACAAUGGAGACGCACAACAAUCUGGAAGAUCACAUACUGCCACGUGGCUAGAGUGUGAAUAGGACCUCACCGGGCUUCAUUAGCCCAAGAUGAUCGCUCUCAAAACCAACGGCUGAUGAGAUGGCCAUGUCGUCUGACAAACC